CGCAAGCCUGACGGAGCAACGCCGCGUGGGGGAGGAAUGUCUGUGGAUUGUAAACCCCUUUUCUUUGGGAAGAACAAAAUGACGGUACCAAAGGAAUCAGCCUCGGCUAACUCCGUGCCAGCAGCCGCGGUAAUACGGAGGAGGCAAGCGUUAUCCGGAAUUAUUGGGCGUAAAGCGUCCGCAGGUGGCGAUUCAAGUCUGCUGUCAAAGCACGGGGCUUAACUCCGUAAAGGCAGUGGAAACUGAAUAGCUAGAGUGCCGUAGGGGUAGAGGGAAUUCCCGGUGUAGCGGUGAAAUGCGUAGAGAUCGGGAAGAACAUCGGUGGCGAAAGCGCUCUACUGGACGGCAACUGACACUCAGGGACGAAAGCUAGGGGAGCG
rnacentral:rRNA from 1 species